UACGGAGGGUGCUAGCGUUGUUCGGAAUCACUGGGCGUAAAGCGCGUGUAGGCGGCCGACUAGGUCUGAUGUGAAAGCCCGGGGCUCACCCCCGGAAGUGCAUUGGAAACUGGUAGGCUCGAGUCCCGGAGAGGAGGGUGGAAUUCCUGGUGUAGCGGUGAAAUGCGUAGAUAUCAGGAGGAACACCGGUGGCGAAGGCGGCCCUCUGGACGGUGACUGACGCUGAGACGCGAAAGCGUGGGGAGCAAACAGG
rnacentral:rRNA from 1 species